rnacentral:rRNA from 1 species
CAGGAGAGCUUGCUCUCUGGGUGGCGAGUGGCGGACGGGUGAGGAAUACAUCGGAAUCUACUUUUUCGUGGGGGAUAACGUAGGGAAACUUACGCUAAUACCGCAUACGACCUACGGGUGAAAGCAGGGGAUCUUCGGACCUUGCGCGAUUGAAUGAGCCGAUGUCGGAUUAGCUAGUUGGCGGGGUAAAGGCCCACCAAGGCGACGAUCCGUAGCUGGUCUGAGAGGAUGAUCAGCCACACUGGAACUGAGACACGGUCCAGACUCCUACGGGAGGCAGCAGUGGGGAAUAUUGGACAAUGGGCGCAAGCCUGAUCCAGCCAUACCGCGUGGGUGAAGAAGGCCUUCGGGUUGUAAAGCCCUUUUGUUGGGAAAGAAAUCCAGCUGGUUAAUACCCGGUUGGGAUGACGGUACCCAAAGAAUAAGCACCGGCUAACUUCGUGCCAGCAGCCGCGGUAAUACGAAGGGUGCAAGCGUUACUCGGAAUUACUGGGCGUAAAGCGUGCGUAGGUGGUCGUUUAAGUCCGUUGUGAAAGCCCUGGG